CAGUUUAUGCACAGUCCCGGUGCCUGAAAUCGGUCUCAUGGAAUUCUGUUUCUCCUUGUCUAACACCCCUGUGACUCAGAGUAAAAAACAAACCUUCACAUGGAGGUUCUUGCCUUUGGCGUGCUGCCAUUCUCUGCGUGCUACGAGGGAUGAAGACAGGUCUCACCACCUCAUCCAUCUCCCAGGAAAGCGGAUAGGUAUUCUAUAUAAUUUAAUGGGAGAGCAGCGGAACAUACGAGUUAGAGGGAUGUGUUCCAGUCCUCAUUCCAACUGCUGUCAAGCAGUGUGUCCUUGAGCACGUCAUUUACUUCAGAGCCCGGGUUUCUUCAUGCAUUCAGUACAGAUCCGGACACCGCUUCCGUCCUCGGGCCAUUGUCCCCCAGGGGGGAUGAGCUAGGCAUGGAGGAUGCUCGGCUCAGUGUCCGUACGCCAG
rnacentral:lncRNA from 1 species